rnacentral:rRNA from 1 species
UUUUUUAGAGAGUUUGAUCCUGGCUCAGGAUGAACGCUGGCGGCGUGCUUAACACAUGCAAGUCGAACGGACUUUUAUUGAAACCUAGUGAUUUAAAAGUUAGUGGCGGACGGGUGAGUAACGCGUGGGUAACCUGCCGUAUGCUGGGGGACAACAGUUAGAAAUGACUGCUAAUACCGCAUAAGCGCACGGAAUCGCAUGAUUCAGUGUGAAAAACUGAGGUGGCAUACGAUGGACCCGCGUCUGAUUAGCUGGUUGGUGAGGUAACGGCUCACCAAGGCGACGAUCAGUAGCCGGCCUGAGAGGGUGAACGGCCAC